GAGCUUUCUAUGAGGGUCAUGGAGGCAUUUCCUUGGCACUAUGCUGACUGAAUCCUCUGCUGGGUGACUACAGCUCCCAGUACAUAGGUGGUGGUGUAGCUGCAGUAAUGAAAGCUCUAAAAUUUCUUCCCAGUUUAGACAAAGGAAGUAAAAAUAUAAGUUGUUUAUUUAAUCUUCCCAAUGCCACUCGAAAGUCUGGAGCUAGGUGCUUGAAUCCUUUAUUGAUUCUGAAGCAGAAGUGAACUUGCCACACUGAUGUGCAGACAGCUGCAGGUGCGACUGCUGGUCUCUGUCAGCAUCAGCUAUGGCUUUGUAUGGAUCCAGCGUGUUACUGUAAGUGGCAUCUGCUCUGCCUGUAGACUGGCUCACAGGACACCUUCAGACCUGAGACUGCUUCUUUUUUCCACUUCUAGCAGGAAGGUGGUUAUGAGAGCCAGCACUUCCUUUCUCAUCUUCCUCCAGAGAAGGCUUCCUCCUGGGUCUGGGCAUGGGCCCCUGCCGCUGUAUUGCUGAUCACACUCUUAAGCAGCUCAGGGCACUCCAUUCAACAGCUCUGUCUCCUAAGGGCUGGCAGUGGAGGCAAGGGUAUCUUGCUGGAGAUCCCUACCUGCUGGCAGUCUUCUAAAGGGUCCUGUUCUCACUCUUCAACCCACGUCAUUGGAAGGGGAGGACUUGGAUCAGCAGGAUCCUUGGAUCCUAAUUGAAUCCAAGAACAAAAAGAAGGCCAAGCCUAGAAGGCCAAAAAAAUCCAAUUAGAGGAUCUGGGAACCUCAGUUCCUCUAGGAAUAAGACCAGAAAUAACUCAAAAGGCAAAGGAAAUCCAGAAUAGACUAGCAGGGUUGACACCCAAAGAGUGGCCCCCUGCCUACACCACACUACAUGUAACACAGCCACUGAAUUUAUGGAUUUGUUGCAACAAUUUAAAUACCUCAGGAGAGUGUACCAGCCUGGCUUUUGAGAUUAUGGGAUAUGGGGGCUGAAAGUGUGGUAAGUAAUGGGCCUGAGAUUUCCAGACUUGCAUCCAUUACCACAAAUCUGGCCCCCAGACUCAGGCUGUAUGUGACGGUAAUACAUAAUGAAGAAAUCCAUUAUUUCAGUGGAUAAUGGUAGCAUGUAGAAUUACAUGGCCAAACAAAAGUGACAUACCAAUAGAUACUGUUUUAUGGACCUCAGUCCAUGAAGAACUCCAAAAUUAUAUUAGAGAACUAGUGAUAAAGGAGGCCAUUUAUGAUGAUGCAUUUGAGACUCCUGACCUGUUUAAAUUUUUGGCAGGAAUGAAGGACCUCAUACUACAACAAGCCCCUCCCCACCACUAUGGCACACUGGUGUCCAUACUGAACCCUUUAGUGGACUUAGAGGUCAUGAUCUGGGAAAGACAGAGAACCCUCAGAACAGGUGCAAUUACUGAAUGUUGGAAGGGGCUGAGGUCCUCUCUGUUAACUAAAAGCAGGAGAUGAGCUGCAUGGACUCCUCAACUGGGGACCCUUAUGGGUAUCCUGAAAGCAGAUGCUUAAUGACUUAAUCUGGGCUGGGGUUCAAUUUGCUAAAAUUGGGCUGAUGAUCAAUCAUGUCCUCCUCCAGCUAUGGAGUCAGUUGAAGGACAAGUAAAAGUUUCAAAAUAUCCCUGAAAAAGCAAGGGUAAGAAUUACUGAAAAAAAAUACGAACGAGAACAUAGAACCUGGAAGAUUUCCUAGUUCCCAAUAAAAGGAAAAGCCUCCUCAAGUAACUUGGGCCACUAUGCCUGAGCCACCUGAGGAAGAAGAAUUGGCAAUUACUCAGUUAAUGGCAUGGCACAAGAUGCCAGCCCCCCUGCACCUAGGGCCACUGGGCAGGACCGGAGGCCCUAUGUCAAACUGAAUAUUUUUUUGGUCCCAAAAGAAUAUACAGCAAGUUAUGGCACUAGUUGACAUGGGCCCUGAAGAUGCUACAGACAAUAUGGGCAUCUCCACUUAGGAUCCAAAUUAUAGGCACCAAAAGUUGGAUAAGACCUCAAAUCAGCAAUGAAAAUCUGCUCACUGGUCCUGGAAAUGUAGAAUUAGAAUGGCCUUGGAAGUUGCAAGUAGGAUCAAAGUGGUGUGGCCUUCUUGAACCCUGGGUGAGAUUAUUGAAGGUUGGGGGAUCACUAGUCCUUUCAAUAUUAGGUACAUGGCCUGCAGACACUGGUCAGCAUCCCAGUUUUCAUUGCUAAGGGGACCUUAAUUAUGUCUCUUGAAAAUCAUGAUCUCCCUCCCACCCUUGGUACCCAAUAUGGUUAUGAAGCCUCAGAUAUAGGGCCAAAGGGUAUGGUGCAGGCAGCUGGGACGUGCCCCAGGACAAGCUCAAGUGUUGACCCAGAACAGGAAUGUGACCUGUAUCUUGCCAUGGAGGGUGGACUUCCCCCUUUUGGUACCUCUGAAACAUCUAUGCUGUUAGUCUCUUUGAGUCCACAGGAUCACUGGGAGGAGCAAUGUGACAUUAAGAUGCUCCAGUGUCACUACAAGAUCAGAGUGAGACCUGAUGGUGGACUAUAUUGGGCAGAUAGAAUGAGAGCUGGACCUUCCCUGGUCCAAGCAACAGUGUACCUCCAGAAGAACCAUUGAGUACUGGCCCACAAAGGAACAUGUUCUUCCACCAAUCAUCAAUCAUCUCAUAUUUUGUCAACCUACACCAUGAUGGGGAAAUGGUACAAAGCAUUGUGGUAUACUGGACUGCUGUAAUGGAAAGGACUUACCUUCAAUCUGCUCAAUCACUGGUUCCAACUGUCAAGGGUUGGAGUGUAGUGGAAGUGCCAGGUCAUGGCCUGAAACAGUGAUUAAGCACCUGGUGGGAAGGCAGGGUCAACCCAGGGGAUCUCAGGUGUGUGCAAUGACUCUGAGUGAAUGGAAGGGGUGGAGCCAGGAUCCUCAUUUUAAGGGUUGGCGGUGAAGGUAAGGGUAUCUUGCUGGAGAUCCCUGCUUAUGUGAGGCCUUCCAGAGGUAAGCAGUUUUUCUUCCUUUGUUUCUGUGUCUAUGGCUGCUGCAUAUGGGCUUGUUCUCAUUUGCUGUAGCUUAGGAUCAUGCCACUCUGCUACUAUUGCUGGACUUUCCAUCACAUUAUAGCAUUACAUGCUGUGAUUUAAACCAUGAUUGAAGUUGUCAUUAAUUCAGUUUAAGAUGAUGCUCAAGCUUUUCCCACUUUUCCUUUAGGGGAAGAUGCAAACAAUUUUUUCAACUUAGAGCAAGAUUUUAAACACUUUUGGCCUUUUUAAGUCUUCCAAAAUGAGGCAAGGAGAACACACUGUUCAUAACUCUUGGUCUUCUCCUGUGUGUGACAGUAAUUCCUCAAAACAUUGUGCAAGACAAGUGAGAAGUGUCUUCAUCAAGGUAUUGAACUAAUGCCAGUAGCCCCUUAGGAAUGGUUACAAGGAGUUGUCACCACAACGUGACCUCCACUGAUGUUCCAAAGCCCAUUUGAAGCUGCAAGAGGAGUUGCCAAAACAAACAUCCAUACAAAAUAUACAAGGACUUGAAAUGAUGCCCAAUGUGUUUUUAUAUGUAUUGUAUCCUUUGUAUUUUUGUAAGAGGAAAGAUAAUGAAGGGAGUCAAAAAUGUGAAAUGUGUGCUCAUUCACAAUAUGAAUGAUGUUUACAAAACAUUCUUCUUAACAAUAGAGUUGGCAGUCCUACUUAAGGCCAAAGGAAGUCUAAAUCACUCUUUUGACCUUCCUUAGGCUGUAGGAACCUGGGCCUUCUCCCUCUCACAAGAUAUUAUAACAUAUUUCUGUAAUUAUUUGUGGAGGAAUGCGUAGGCACAAAUAUUGUUGACAGAGAGUAUAUGUUAAACAAAGCUAUUGAAAAUGUCUGCUUAAUGUUAACAGAAUGCUGUUAGGCAUUUAGAAAAUGAGUAAUAAAUUGCCACUGUUUCUAUAGGCAUGUACAGUGCUGUGCUUAUGUUUUGACAGAGCAAAACCAAACAAUGUAGUCACACUUACAACUCUUCUAUAUCAAAUUGAAACCACCCAGCUUCUUUUAUAGUGUGUAGGACAGAGCAAUGCCAUUAUUCACUCAGAACCACAUGAAGACCUUGUGUCUCUGAAAGAUUUGGAUCAGAUUUCCCAAAUCCUAGGUUAACAGCUGAACUUCUUUGCCAUCUUUCUCCUGUGUUCUUUUUAUCAGCUAGAUUAGCAAGGUACUGCUGUAUCCUAGCAGUAAUACAAUAAUACAAUUAUUUGUAUUGUUGCAAUAGGAAUGCAAAUAUUAUUGCAUAAUAUUGUAUUAUUGUUACAAUUGGAAAGAUUAAUGUGGUGGAAGGGCAAUUCAGGAGGGUAACAGCAAAGGGACCAGUGUAGAUGAGAUGGUAUUUCAAAGGAAAAGUGAAGGUUCUCACUGGUCUCUGAAGAUCUAGGCUCACAGGAAAGACUCCACAAGGGUGGGGUCUCCAACCAGAGAUCCUUCCCCAGUGGCAGUCAGCCCUUAAAUGAGG
ensembl:lncRNA